AGCGAACGCUGGCGGCAGGCCUAACACAUGCAAGUCGAACGAAGUCUUCGGACUUAGUGGCGGACGGGUGAGUAACACGUGGGAACGUGUCUUUAGGUUCGGAAUAACUCAGGGAAACUUGUGCUAAUACCGAAUGUGCCCUUCGGGGGAAAGAUUUAUCGUCUUUAGAGCGGCCCGCGUCUGAUUAGCUAGUUGGUGAGGUAAAGGCUCACCAAGGCGACGAUCAGUAGCUGGUCUGAGAGGAUGAUCAGCCACAUUGGGACUGAGACACGGCCCAAACUCCUACGGGAGGCAGCAGUGGGGAAUCUUGCGCAAUGGGCGAAAGCCUGACGCAGCCAUGCCGCGUGAAUGAUGAAGGUCUUAGGAUUGUAAAAUUCUUUCACCGGUGAAGAUAAUGACUGUAGCCGGAGAAGAAGCCCCGGCUAACUUCGUGCCAGCAGCCGCCGUAAGAC
rnacentral:rRNA from 1 species